GUGACUAGCCAGUCUAGGGUCCUCGAUGACUAGAGCAGGGGAUCCAUGUGAGGAAGUGGCACAAGCCAGCAGCAAUCUCCUGUUGUGUUCUACACCUGAGGUUCGGAGCCCUUUGUUACUACAACACAGUCUGGGUAGUACUGUGCUCUGUCUGAAUGGGAACCAGGGUUUGCCCUUCGCUGCCUCUGCAGAACCUCGGGCCCUGAAUGAGACCCCACAGUAGGCACUUGGCUUGACAAAUAGACAUCUCCCAGACAGAAGAAAUCGAGAAAACCACUGAGAUCCAAACUAGAUGGAGGAGCGCAAGCAAGGGCAGGGAGGUGAUUGGGGCUGAGGGACAGGGAACCACCUACCUGGCUUUAGCGGGAAGAAUGUCAAUACCAAUGGCAAAUUGCUGAGUGUCCUAUUUCCGGCUUCUGUGUGUCAUGGCAUAUCAUUUACCUUGAGGCCACAUUAAUAAAAUUCUGGAAGGCUCUGAA